AGUAUGUCUACACGAUAACAGCAACAUGGGAAAAAGUCAUCGACAGGUAGUUCGCUCAGCUGUUGAGAUCACUCUCUUGGUGUGCUGCUUUGUGUCUGACAGGAGGAGUAACAACCAGCCUCCGAGAUGAGGACUAAUUCCAGCACUUGUGAAAGACGCUGGGGAAGAUUAAAGACAACUGGAGAAUUCACUGGAGUGGCAUAAAAAAAAAAUUAUCUGAGUGACGUAUUGAUUAAUGAAGCCACUCCUAGAAACCAAUGAAAAUCAUUAAAGAAUAUU
rnacentral:lncRNA from 1 species